rnacentral:rRNA from 1 species
CAUGCAAGUCGAGCGAAGCUUUUCAGUAGUUUACUACAGAAAAUGACUGAGCGGCGAACGGGUGAGUAACGCGUGAGCAAUCUACCUUAGUUACAGGGAUAGCCCGAGGAAACUCGGAUUAAUACCUGAUAUUCUUUAAAUUUCGCAUGAAAUUAAAAGGAAAGGUCAGCCGAACUAAGAUGAGCUCGCGUUCUAUCAGCUAGUUGGUGAGGUAAAAGCUCACCAAGGCUACGACGGAUAGCUGGUCUGAGAGGACGAUCAGCCACACUGGGACUGAGACACGGCCCAGACUCCUACGGGAGGCUGCAGCAGGGAAUAUUGCGCAAUGAGCGAAAGCUUGACGCAGCGACACCGCGUGUGGGAUGACGGAUCUAGGUUUGUAAACCACUUUCAGGAGGGAAGAAAAUGACGGUACCUCCACAAGAAGCCCCGGCCAACUACGUGCCAGCAGCCGCGGUAAUACGUAGGGGGCGAGCGUUGUCCGGAUUUAUUGGGCGUAAAGAGCUCGUAGGCGGUUCAACAAGUCGGUCGUGAAAGUUCAGGGCUCAACCCUGAAAUGUCGAUCGAUACUGUUGUGACUAGGAUACGGUAGAGGUGAGU